CUCGUUGUCUCCGCCGACCCUCGCUCCGGCCGCCGUCGGCACGAUCGUCAAGUUGACCUCCAGCUCCUCCGCUCCCCGUCGGUCCGAGUUUCCGGCCUCCGGUCCGUGCUCUCCGUCGAAGGCGACUCCGAUUCGGAGCGCGAUUCAUCGAGGCGGUCGGGAUCAGAGGAGCUCGUGAUCGUGCGCGGCCUCGGGGAGGCGUAAUCGGCUGUCGAACGAGGGACGUGGGGAAGGGCUUGAGGCAGAAUGUCUUGGUCUUCAAGCUUUCUUCUAGGGUUUUCGAGAUCUACCCUCCACUAGCUCUCUGUACACCCCCUCGCUGCUUGCUCCAGCAGCUGGUGGGGCUGCGUUUUCGGCUGCUCCCGGAGCUUUUUCAGCUAUGAAGACCGACGAAGGGUCGCGGCACGUCCUUCCCUUUCAGCUUCAGUUCGACAAGCCGCUGGCUUCUCAGGUGAAGAUGGGGGAGUGGAAUCCGGAGAAGGAUUUGCUGGCGAUGGUCACGGAGGACUCGAAGGUGGGUGCUUCAUCGCUUCAAUUGGCGGAGGCUGUGGACAAUCUCUCCUUGGUAAAUGUAUAACAUCAUUAUGCUGGCUUCCUGAUGGCAAAGUUGUUGCCUUGGGACUAGAAGAUGGUACAGUUUCACGUUGAAAAUGGAAACUAUUAAGAAGAGUGAAGUCCCAUGUGGCAGUUCUGUGGUGUGUCUCAAUUUGGAGGAGGAUGCCCAAGUGAAUAGAUAGGACACUUCUGGCAACUCUCUGACAUUUGAAGAUUGCACUACUCAUUUCUUCCCUCCAGCUCCAAGAGUUCCUCGCAUGCCUGGCGUAGCACCUGGAAACUGGUUUAACUGACGAUGGUCAAGAUUCAUUCGUAGAGCUCUCAAAUUCUUCCAAGCAAUGUUUGAAUAUGCUUUGCAGUGGAGAUAAAGAUGGGGCUUUGUGCUUUAGUAUAUUUGGUGCCUUUCCAAUCAGAAAUGUUGUAAGCCUUCUGUCUGUUCAGAUCAAACAUUUAGCUAUAUAUUCUAUUAGAUUCAGUCAACGACUACUUCUUUCCUUUCUUGCUUCCAUAGAGCAGUCUUUUUAAUAAAUGGAUCUGAUUGCAGAAAUCAGUAUUGCCUGAAAGUAAUGGGCUGGUUAAUUAAAUAACUAUACUAGGUGAAGUUAUUCUUGUAAAGUUCUAGAUUUCACUUCUGUUGGUCACUUCAGAUAUGACACCUCCGACUUCGAUAUAGCACAAUUA